ensembl:lncRNA
GUAGGAAAGGGUGGGGGGCUGGGAGUGGAGAGGGCGGGGUCGGCUGCCCUCCGAAGGCUUUACAAAGCGUGCGCACCAGCCCCGGGCUGUGGUCGGCAAGAUCGUGAGCCACCACUGCCAAGGUGCCUCCAGCGUCCCCAGGUUGCGUAACCAUCCAGAAACACACGAUAAGAGUCCUCUUUCAGCAAAUAUUCUUGAUUAAGUCAUGAAAAUGGAAUUGGAGCUUAUUUUUCCCCUUUGUAUGGUCUACACGUGUUGAUCUUGUGCCGUGUCUACUCCUGCUUCCCUCAGCACCUCGAAGACGGACGGACAGCAAUGGUUUAGCAGAUUUCAUCUGCAGCAAGGAUAUCGGCUUACUCAGCGUCCCUAGAACCUACUACAGUAACUAGAAUUUCAGAGGCAUCCUAUUUUUAAGAAUCUAAACACUCAAAAUUUGGUGUUUUGGUUGUUCUACUCAUGCUUUAAAACUCUGAAAUAAGAAUUUUAUACAUAUAUAUAUAUAUAU